rnacentral:rRNA from 1 species
UACGUAGGGUGCGAGCGUUAAUCGGAAUUACUGGGCGUAAAGCGUGCGCAGGCGGUUCGUUAUGUCCGAUGUGAAAGCCCCGAGCUCAACUUGGGAAUGGCAUUGGAAACUGGCGGGCUGGAGUGCGAGAGAGGGGCGUGGAAUUCCGGGUGUAGUGGUGAAAUGCGUAGAGAUCCGGAGGAACCCAGAGGCGAAGGCGGCGCCCUGGCUCGCCACUGACGCUCAGACACGACAGCAUGGGGACGCGGAACGGG